GUGUACUCCCUGGGUGUCACGCUCAGCAAGGUGAUCCAUCUCACCGAGGCUUCAAAUGCAAUAGAAGGACAACUCAAAAUGGCCCAAGCGGUUUGGGAGACCUGGGUGACCUACGAAAGUUAAUUAGAAGGUUAACAAAGACGAAGACAGAGUCGAAUCCAUCGCCUCUCCUUCAGCCAAAGAUGUCAUCCAUUAAUUAGGGAAAUCAUUCAGGUGGCCUCUAUAGAAUCCAUAGAAAAUCUGUCGGUGGCGGCGCACAGUUUUGAUCAGAUUUUCCUCUCCCCCAGAAUGCUACCCUUAAUGCCCAGGACUGAGAAGCAGCCAGCCACUCCAGGCAGGGAACCUGUUGGAAGCUAAGCAGACACCUCCUUUCAUCCGAUUUUUCCCCCACCCCUUUCUCACCAUGUUAAUCUAGAAUUUCUGAUUUGG
ensembl:lncRNA